rnacentral:rRNA from 1 species
AUUGAACGCUGGCGGCAGGCCUAACACAUGCAAGUCGAGCGAGCGGCGGACGGGUGAGUACUGUCUGGGCAACUGCCUGAUGUAGCGGGAUAACUACUGGAAACGGUAGCUAAAACCGCAUACCAUAAGAUGUGCCCAGAUGGGAUUAGCUAGUAGGUGGGGUAACGGCUCACCUAGGGGCCUAUCCCUAGCUGGUCUGAGAGGAUGACCAGCCACACUGGAACUGAGACACGUUCCAGACUCCCACGGGAGGCAGAAGUGGGGAAUAUUGCGCAAGGGGCGAAAGCCUGAUGCAGCCAAGCCGCGUGUGGGAUGAAGGCCUUCGGGGUGUAAAGCACUUUCGGCGGGGGGGCGGUACCCGCAGAAGAAGCACCGGCUAACGCCGUGCCAGCCGCCGCGGUAAUAC